GAUGAACGCUGGCGGCGUGCCUAAUACAUGCAAGUCGAGCGAACAGAUAAGGAGCUUGCUCCUUUGACGUUAGCGGCGGACGGGUGAGUUACACGUGGAUAACCUACCUAUAAGACUGGGAUAACUUCGGGAAACCGGAGCUAAUACCGGAUAACAUAUUGAACCGCAUGGUUCAAUAGUGAAAGGCGGCUUUGCUGUCACUUAUAGAUGGAUCCGCGCCGUAUUAGCUAGUUGGUAAGGUAACGGCUUACCAAGGCAACGAUACGUAGCUGACCUGAGAGGGUGAUCGGCCACACUGGAACUGAGACACGGUCCAGACUCCUACGGGAGGCAGCAGUAGGGAAUCUUCCGCAAUGGGCGAAAGCCUGACGGAGCAACGCCGCGUGAGUGAUGAAGGUCUUCGGAUCGUAAAACUCUGUUAUCAGGGAAGAACAAAUGUGUAAGUAACUGUGCACAUCUUGACGGUACCUGAUCAGAAAGCCACGGCUAACUACGUG
rnacentral:rRNA from 1 species